AUCUGGGUAGAGCUCAGCUGGUAGAGCAUAAGACUCUAAAUCUCAGAGACGUGAGUUCGAGUCCCGAGUUGGGCG